GAUGAAGAACUCAGCGAAAUGCGAUAAGUAAUGUGAAUUGCAGAAUUCAGUGAAUCAUCGAAUCUUUGAACGCACAUUGCGCCCGCCAGUAUUCUGGCGGGCAUGCCUGUUCGAGCGUCAUUUCAACCAUCAAGCCCCAGGCUUGUGUUGGAGCCCUGCGGCUGCCGCAGCCUCCCAAAACCAGUGGCGGGCUCGCUAUCACACCGAGUGCAGUAGUUUACUCUUCGCUCAGGGCGUGUGGCGGGUGCUAGCCGUAAAACCCCCAACUUCUCAAGGUUGACCUCGGAUCAGGUAGGAAUACCCGCUGAACUUAAGCAUAUCAAUAAGCGGAGGA
rnacentral:misc_RNA from 1 species